CUGAUAUCUACCACUCCCAGGCUUUUCCUGUAAGCCCGCCCAGCUCUUUGUGCGCAGUUGUGUAGGGGGAAAGCAAGAAAUCAGAGUACUGGGAGACUGCUCUCUUAAAGGUUUUGAGAAGAAUUUGAGAUAGUCAGAUCAGCCCAGUCAGAAUUUCAAGAUAAAAGAUGGAUGCCAGCAAGCAACCUGGUGCCUGGAGCUCAGACGAAAAAUCAGGAAUUCAGCCACCACCUUAUCAAGACAAUCCUCAACUUUAUCCUCCUCCAGGUCCUUUGUACCAAGGAGGCUACUACCCACCUGGUCCUGGGAUUUCACCACCAGGCGCCUAUGGCCAGCCUUAUCCACAGGGUCAAAUCCCUGUUGGGCAGCAAUCCACUGUCAUGGUCCAGCCUACGGUAUAUGUGACCCGGACCCCACUUGCCAAUCCCUUUCCAGAUUACCUGGCAUACUCCAUUUUCACCAUGAUCUGCUGCUGCCUCCCUCUGGGCAUCGCUGCGCUUGUCUACUCCAUUUCAACCCGUGAUGCCAAUUUUCAAGGAGAUCAACAUCUGGCAGAGAAGAAUUCAAAAACUGCACGAAAUCUGAAUCAUGCUGGACUUGGCAUUGGCUUGACUGUCGUCAUCAUCUAUGUCAUCUGUGCCGUUGUCUUAGCUUCCCGCUGAAACUCAUCUCUACUACUCAAGACUUACAGAAACAGUUGAAUGUUAAAUGUUGCAAAUAUAACGGCAGUAAAUUACCCUGUUAAAAAUACCUCAUAACAAUUUUUAUGCAUGUUUAUACAAAUAUUAUUAACACAAACAUAAACCAUAUAUAUCGUUUUGGACAGUAAUGAGAUGUAUAUGUAGGCUACUUUAAAAUAUACUCCGGCUAUCUGGAAGCUCAAUCAAAUAUUAAUUAAAUAUAUCUGUCAAGGUUCCAUGCCAUAGUUCUAUUAAAUUUAACUAUUCGAAUCUGGACAAUGCAUUUACUGCUUUGAGAAAAUGUGCACAGUUAAUCCACAAUUUCUUAAGAAUACAAUUUAACUCUUCCUUUAGGUGAAAUAUCCUGGUUACACAAGUGUAUUUGGUCACAAAUAUGAGACAAGUUUUUUGGUUUUCUUCAAUAAAUAUUUUUGAGUUAAAGUGCA
rnacentral:lncRNA from 1 species